CCUUAAAAUACCUACUUAUUACUUCAAUAGAUCUUUUAAAAAUCGGUUGAAGAGCUCGAAACCUUGUGUUGUGGCCAACUACCAGGAGAAACAUGGCUACUUGUUCCUCAAUGGAAGUAUGAAUACUAUCUUUCAAUAAUUCUCUCUCUCUAAACAAAUUGCACAAGCGAAAAAAGGGAGCUCUUUUCAUUCUUAGCUGAUUUGAGCAAUUUGUGUCGGUAGAAUGAUAGAUAUAUCUCAAGUUAGAUUCCCUAGCUAUAUCCAUAUCAAUCCUACGAUCUAAUAACAUCGGAGUUUGGUUUCUAGCUCUCCUUGAGAUAAAA
rnacentral:lncRNA from 1 species